rnacentral:snRNA from 1 species
GGACGCGAGGCUGAUCUGGUGGAGUCCUGCUACCCUAUUGUACGUCAGCGUUGAUCUGGCUGGUUAGGCAGGUGUCCCAUUCCUCUCUGAUUACUGCAUGUGUGUCCCUCCCAAAGCUCGGUGCUCUGUGGCAAAAGAAAACCUUCCCUGAUAGAGAAUUGUCCUUUGAUCAAGCACAGUCCUAAGUAACUGUUCUCCUCUGCUAAAACUUCCAAGCAAAAUCUCAAAGCCCCUCUGUUUGGGGAUAGAUUUCACUACCAUCAGGAGACUUCUGGCAAGAU